rnacentral:rRNA from 1 species
UACGGAGGGGGCUAGCGUUGUUCGGAAUUACUGGGCGUAAAGCGCGCGUAGGCGGACUGUUAAGUCGGGGGUGAAAUCCCGGGGCUCAACCCCGGAACUGACUUCGAUACUGGCGGUCUAGAGGUCUGGAGAGGUGAGUGGGAUUCCGAGUGUAGAGGUGAAAUUCGUAGAUAUUCGGAGGUACACCAGUGGCGAAGGCGGCUCACUGGCCAGAUUCUGACGCUGAGGUGCGAAAGCGUGGGGAGCAAACAGG